rnacentral:rRNA from 1 species
UCGAGCGGGGAGCUUGCCGCUGAUCAAUACGCUGUAUUCUGCUCAGCUGCCGACGUGGACCUUGGACCCUCGCCCAUCAGCCGCGAGCUCAAGGGUGCGUCGUCCGUCUGGUGUGCUGCUCUAGAGUUGUGGCUCAAUCUGGACCGUUCCUGCUGAGUGCCUGUCUUCUGGUUUCCUGUAGGCCGAGGAAUAUAUUCACGCUACACCGAGCUCAAUCU